rnacentral:rRNA from 1 species
UACGUAGGGUGCAAGCGUUGUCCGGAAUUAUUGGGCGUAAAGAGCUCGUAGGCGGCCUGUCGCGUCGGCUGUGAAAACCCGGGGCUCAACCCCGGGCCUGCAGUCGAUACGGGCAGGCUAGAGUCCGGUAGGGGAGACUGGAAUUCCUGGUGUAGCGGUGAAAUGCGCAGAUAUCAGGAGGAACACCGGUGGCGAAGGCGGGUCUCUGGGCCGGAACUGACGCUAAGGAGCGAAAGCGUGGGGAGCGAACAGGAUUAGAAAC